GCCAGGAGUUCAGAAUCCCUCAGAUGGGGAAGAGUAUGACAGGGCAGAAAGAUGCAAACCACGGAAGAAGGAGUUCAGGUAACAACUGCUGACCAACUGCCACCAACGGGCAAGAAAACACACAAGAGCACUGCGGGUGGGAGCACUCCACGAAAAACCAGUCCUGCUUCCAAGCCAAGAUCCCCCAGCCCUCAUCAGGGGAGUGGAUCUUGCAGAUGAAGCCUCAGCCAUCCCCCCAACUGCCACCCAACUGCCACCCCAAGGGGAGGCAAGCUCGCCUGGCCAAAGCAGCAGGACCCCCAGAAGAACAAGUGGCAACAUGUGCAGGGAGGGUAGAGCAAAGGAAAUCUUUCCGGUCUGAAUGUCGGAGCAUAUGGAGCCUCAGUUUGUCAGGACGACAGAAGGCUUUGUCACACUCUGUGCACUGGUAAAUCUUUUCUGAGUGGAAGCUGCGUACAUGUUUCUUCACCUAGGAAUAAAGAUUCCCAGGAAAAACUCAGUGGAUUUAGUGGUCAAAGACAUUGCAGAAUGAGAGGAAUAAAGCAACACCAGAGGGAGCUCUUAACUGGGACAACAAGACUUAAAUCAACCUGGGUAUACAAUCCAAUCAUACAGAUUGUUAAAAUGGUGUCAAAUCCCAAUUGAAACAUACACACCUUCCUCUUUCUCCUGCUCAUCUCCUGCACAAAAAACACUUUUGCAUAUGGACUCAGAAUUAAAGCAUCCUCGCUUAAAACAGAAAUGGACUAAUUUCUGAGUCCCUCAAAAUUAACGGGACUACAAGUAAAUUCUUAUUUGCCUUAAGCAGUGGUAAAAGAAACAAAUUUUACACUUACACCUAUCCAGUCAUCUCAAAGGUUAAGAAAUUAAAGUUUUAUUUGUUGUUAAUUUAUUUAAUAUUCGGUUUAUUUAUUCACAAAAAAAGAGUAUGAGUGAUUAGAAGUAUAAGAUUUAUUCUAAAGAAAUUUUGCUAAUUUAUCUUGGACCACCCUGCAUCAUCACUGAAUAUGACUUGGGAAUGUUAUAUUUCUGUUUCAAUUUUCAAUCUAUUAAGCAGAAAAACUAUAUCCCUCUAACUGAACAGUCAUGAUACAAUAGCAAUAAGGAUGCAACAUUAGUAAAUUAGAGUUAAGUUCUUAGAAUCCUGAUGUAUUUUAUAUUUUAAAUGCCCUUUUGGGGUAAAUGUUAAAAGUCUAGGAUAGUUUUGUAGGAGUAUUUUUUCCCUUAUUGCUUAUCUUAUAAUCUUAAUUUAUCUAAUAUAUGUUCUAGUAAGAUUAGUGAAAUGAACAUUUAUCUGUGACUUAAUGGAAUAAAAAUGUUU